UACGAAGGGGGCUAGCGUUGCUCGGAAUCACUGGGCGUAAAGCGCACGUAGGCGGAUUGCUAAGUCAGGGGUGAAAUCCUGGAGCUCAACUCCAGAACUGCCUUUGAUACUGGCGACCUUGAGUCCGGGAGAGGUGAGUGGAACUGCGAGUGUAGAGGUGAAAUUCGCAGAUAUUCGCAAGAACACCAGUGGCGAAGGCGGCUCACUGGCCCGGUACUGACGCUGAGGUGCGAAAGCGUGGGGAGCAAACAGG
rnacentral:rRNA from 1 species